GAAAAUUGUCCAAAUUUGAAUUGCAAAGUUUAGGCUUAAUCGAUAGCUCUAAAAUAAUGAAUUUACGGUUAAAGUGUUUAAAUUAUGGAUCUUCUACUUUGUGCCGAGCACCUGGAAGUCGAAUAUUUCAGAUACCAGAGGAUAUUCUACACUUUUUUCUUGAAUGCCAAUUUACUGUUACUGAUAUAGCAAAGCUCCUAUCAGCUUCUGAGAGUACAGUUUAUAGGAGAAUGCGGCAAUGUAAUUUAACUAAAAAGAACGUCUCAAACAUUUCGGAUGAAGAUUUAGAUUCCUUAAUACAGGAGAUAGUUCAGGAAUUUCCCCGCUGCGGCGAAAACAUGAUAAAAGAAUUGUUAAUGCAAAAAACAGCUAUACAGGUGACUAGAAUGCGUUUAAGAGAGAGCUUACAUCGGCUGGAUAACAUUGGAAUAUAAGAUAGAAAGAAGAGAAGGUUGCAUAGAGGUAUAUACAACGUUGAUGGUGUAAAUCAUAUGUGGCAUAUUGACACAAACCACAAGCUUAUCCGAUGGAAUUUUAUUGUGUUAGGGGGAAUUGAUGGCUUUAGUAGAUUUAUAACCUUUCUCAAUUGCAGGGACAACAAUAAAGCUGUUACAUUACUGGAUUCCUUCAAAAAUGGUGUAGCAAAAUUACGGAAUGCCUUUACGUGUUCGAUCCGAUAAGGGCCUUGAAAACUGCCUAGUUGCUGAUUACAUGAUCAAAGAUCGAGGUCCUAACCGUGGUAGCAUGAUAACAGGGAAAAGCUGUCACAAUCAGAGGAUAGAAAGGUUGUGGAGGGAUGUUUUUGAAGGUGUAUUGUGCUUUUAUUAUGAUCUUUUUCAUUUCAUGGAGGAAGAAGGCUUUCUUGACAAUUCACUUAGCGACCACAUGUUCGCUCUACAUCAUGUAUAUAUAUGCAAAAAAUCACGCGAUGAAAAAUUGAGCAUAUGGGCACGGGCGUGGGGAAAACACCGCCUUCGUACUGCAAAAUCGUCUCCUCUUUGAUUAUUUACUGCAGGUAUGAUUAAUAAUCCACCCGAUUUUGAAAUUUUUGACAUCGAAAAUUACGGUACAGAGGGAAAUUAUGAAGAUACUUUAAAUGACUAUACUGGCAUAGAUGAUCCCAGGCCUACACUCGAUUCACAGGCGUUUGUUGUAAAUGAAACAUGCCAAGAACAACUAAACUUGUAUUGUCCAAAAAAAUGGAGCUCUGUAUAUCAUGGAAUCGACGUAUAUCUACAAGCAUUACAUAUUAUCGAGAGGAAUUCCGGAAUUAUUGAGUGAUUAUAAACGAGUUAACCUUUUUCAGUGUAGGACAUAUGUAUAUCAUCUUCUCAUUUUUCUUAAGUGUUUGGCAAUACACUUUCAGACAGAUUGUGAAAUUGAAAGAGUUAGAUAAAACCAAACUGGUUAAGCAUUAUGUUGUUGAGAAAUAAGAAUAUAAAAAAAAUGCUGUUACAGUUUACUAUUUCAAAGAUGAUGACUUCCGAGAUUGUUUUAUUCCUUUUAUGUAAUUUGUACAUGUCAUUUUAUGCUUUAAAUACAAAUGUUUAUCGAA